AUCGCUUCUCGGCCUUUUGGCUAAGAUCAAGUGUAGUAUCUGUUCUUAUCACUUUAAUAUCUGAUACAUCCUCUAUCCGAGGACAAUUUACACUAUUCUCCCCACCAUAU
rnacentral:snRNA from 1 species